rnacentral:lncRNA from 1 species
CCAACCUCUUCACCAUUUAAACAACGAAUCACCACUAAUGAAUUCAUUCGAAUCUCCACAUUCACAUACCCUCUAGUACACGCUCAAGGAAGAUUUUCAUUUGAACCCCAUAGCUUUGCUAUAUAAGCACUAGUAGAACCAAUUUGUUUAGCAAAGCCUCCCAACCAACAAUGACCAAGAUUAUUCCCGAAAAACACCUCCACAACCAGUCAUCUCAAAAUUGGAGUUCGAAUUCAAGAUUUUU